rnacentral:rRNA from 1 species
GAUGAACGCUGGCGGCGUGCCUAAUACAUGCAAGUCGAGCGAACAGACGAGGAGCUUGCUCCUCUGACGUUAGCGGCGGACGGGUGAGUAACACGUGGAUAACCUACCUAUAAGACUGGGAUAACUUCGGGAAACCGGAGCUAAUACCGGAUAAUAUAUUGAACCGCAUGGUUCAAUAGUGAAAGACGGUUUUGCUGUCACUCAUAGAUGGAUCCGCGCCGCAUUAGCUAGUUGGUAAGGUAACGGCUUACCAAGGCCACGAUGCGUAGCCGACCUGAGAGGGUGAUCGGCCACACUGGAACUGAGACACGGUCCAGACUCCUACGGGAGGCAGCAGUAGGGAAUCUUCCGCAAUGGGCGAAAGCUUGACGGAGCAACGCCGCGUGAGUGAUGAAGGUCUUCGGAUCGUAAAACUCUGUUAUUAGGGAAGAACAAAUGUGUAAGUAACUAUGCACGUCUUGACGGUACCUAAUCAGAAAGCCACGGCUAACUACGUG